rnacentral:rRNA from 1 species
GGGCAAGAUAGGGGCGACCGGGUCGAUUAGCCAUGCUAGUUGUACGAGUUUAGACUCGUAGCAGAUAGCUCAGUAACACGUGGCCAAACUACCCUAUAGAUCCAGAUAACCUCGGGAAACUGAGGCUAAUCCGGAAUAGGGCUCUCAUCCUGGAGUGGAGAGAGCCUGAAACGCCCCGGCGCUAUAGGAUGUGGCUGCGGCCGAUUAGGUAGACGGUGGGGUAACGGCCCACCGUGCCAGUAAUCGGUACGGGUUGUGAGAGCAAGAGCCCGGAGACGGUAUCUGAGACAAGAUACCGGGCCCUACGGGGCGCAGCAGGCGCGAAACCUUUACACUGCACGCCAGUGCGAUAAGGGGACUCCAAGUGCGAGGGCAUAUAGUCCUCGCUUUUUGCGACCGUAAGGUGGUCGCGGAAUAAGUGCUGGGCAAGACCGGUGCCAGCCGCCGCGGUAAUACCGGCAGCACGAGUGAUGACCGCUGUUAUUGGGCCUAAAGCGUCCGUAGCUGGCCGCGCAAGUCUAUCGGGAAAUCUCUUCGCUUAACGGAGAGGCGUCCGGUGGAAACUGUGUGGCUUGGGACCGGAAGACCAGAGGGGUACGUCUGGGGUAGGAGUGAAAUCCCGUAAUCCUGGACGGACCACCGGUGGCGAAAGCGCCUCUGGAAGACGGAUCCGACGGUGAGGGACGAAAGCUCGGGUCACGAACCGGAUUAGAUACCCGGGUAGUCCGAGCUGUAAACGAUGUCUGCUAGGUGUGACACAGGCUACGAGCCUGUGUUGUGCCGUAGGGAAGCCGUGAAGCAGACCGCCUGGGAAGUACGUCCGCAAGGAUGAAACUUAAGGAAUUGGCGGGGGAGCACUACAACCGGAGGAGCCUGCGGUUUAAUUGGACUCAACGCCGGACAUCUCACCAGCAUCGACAAUGUGCAGUGACGGUCAGUAUGAUGAGCUUACCUGAGCCACUGAGAGGAGUGCAUGGCCGCCGUCAGCUCGUACCGUGAGGCGUCCUGUUAAGUCAGCAACGAGCGAAACCCGCACUCUUAAUUGCCAGCAGCACCUUGUGUGCUGGGUACAUUAAGGAGACUGCCAGUGCAAACUGAGAGACGGGCAACGUAGUCAGUAUGCUCGAUGGCUGGGCGAACCGCGGCUACAAUGGCAGACAGUGGGAAUGCAACGCCGAAGGCGACGCUUAUCCUCCGAACUUGGUCUGAAUUCGA